rnacentral:rRNA from 1 species
UCCGUAGGCGGGCGACUAAGUCAGAGGUGAAAUCCCACAGCUUAACUGUGGAACUGCCUUUGAUACUGGUUGUCUUGAGUUAUGGUGAAGUAGAUAGAAUAUGUAGUGUAGCGGUGAAAUGCUUAGAUAUUACAUAGAAUACCGAUUGCGAAGGCAGUCUACUAACUAUAUACUGACGCUAAUGGACGAAAGCGUGGGGAGCGAACAGGAUUAGAUACCCUGGUAGUCC